AUUGAACGCUGGCGGCAUGCCUUACACAUGCAAGUCGAACGGUAACGCGGGGCAACCUGGCGACGAGUGGCGAACGGGUGAGUAACGCAUCGGAACGUGCCUAGUAGUGGGGGAUAGCCCGGCGAAAGCCGGAUUAAUACCGCAUACCACCUGAGGGUAAAAGCGGGGGACCGCAAGGCCUCGCGCUAUUGGAGCGGCCGAUGUCAGAUUAGGUAGUUGGUGGGGUAAAAGCCCACCAAGCCUGCGAUCUGUAGCUGGUCUGAGAGGACGACCAGCCACACUGGGACUGAGACACGGCCCAGACUCCUACGGGAGGCAGCAGUGGGGAAUUUUGGACAAUGGGCGCAAGCCUGAUCCAGCCAUGCCGCGUGCGGGAAGAAGGCCUUCGGGUUGUAAACCGCUUUUGUCAGGGAAGAAAUAUGCCGGGCCAAUACCCUGGUGGGAUGACGGUACCUGAAGAAUAAGCACCGGCUAACUACGUGCCAGCAGCCGCAGUAA
rnacentral:rRNA from 1 species